GAGAUCUGGGCUGGAUCUUGGGCUUGUCCCCCAGCGCCCUGGGCUCCAGGGCCUGCACUGCUGGAAUCGUGCUCCUGGCCACGCAGCAUCCU
rnacentral:pre_miRNA from 1 species